GAGUUUGAUCAUGGCUCAGAACGAACGCUGGCGGCAUGCCUAACACAUGCAAGUCGAACGAGACCUUCGGGUCUAGUGGCGCACGGGUGCGUAACGCGUGGGAAUCUGCCCUUGGGUUCGGAAUAACAGUGAGAAAUUACUGCUAAUACCGGAUGAUGUCGUAAGACCAAAGAUUUAUCGCCCAAGGAUGAGCCCGCGUAGGAUUAGCUAGUUGGUGUGGUAAAGGCGCACCAAGGCGACGAUCCUUAGCUGGUCUGAGAGGAUGAUCAGCCACACUGGGACUGAGACACGGCCCAGACUCCUACGGGAGGCAGCAGUGGGGAAUAUUGGACAAUGGGCGAAAGCCUGAUCCAGCAAUGCCGCGUGAGUGAUGAAGGCCUUAGGGUUGUAAAGCUCUUUUACCCGGGAUGAUAAUGACAGUACCGGGAGAAUAAGCCCCGGCUAACUCCGUGCCAGCAGCCGCGGUAA
rnacentral:rRNA from 1 species